rnacentral:rRNA from 1 species
AUGGCGCCAGACAGCUCGACCACCCUGCGCUCGUCCAUGCAGCCGCAUCCGUCGUCGAUAUGCAGCUGCACCAUGCCGCCACCACUCGUCGUCAAUGAUGCGGUAAAUACAACGCCGCACCACCUGGCAACCUCCACAUCAUCGCCACUGCUGGAGCUACUCGGAGCCCACCAUCCACAAAAUCUCUCCCCCGAACAGUAG